GGUUGGUCCGAUGGUAGUGUGUUAUCAGAACUUAUUAACAUUAAUGUCACUAAGAAGUUGGUACACAACCCUUACUGCUACAUUUGACUGACUAAAA
rnacentral:Y_RNA from 1 species